rnacentral:rRNA from 1 species
AGAGUUUGAUCCUGGCUCAGAAUCAACGCUGGCGGCGUGCCUAACACAUGCAAGUCGAACGCGAAAGCGGCUUCGGCCGUAAGUAGAGUGGCGAACGGGUGAGUAACGCGUGGGUGACCUGCCUUCGAGUGGGGGAUAACGUUUCGAAAGGAACGCUAAUACCGCAUGACAUCCCGUCCUUGGACGGAUGGUGAUCAAAGCUGGGGAUCGCAAGACCUGGCGCUUGAAGAGGGGCCCGCGUCCGAUUAGCUAGUUGGUAGGGUAAUGGCCUACCAAGGCAACGAUCGGUAGCCGGCCUGAGAGGGCGGACGGCCACACUGGGACUGAGACACGGCCCAGACUCCUACGGGAGGCAGCAGUGAGGAAUUGUUCGCAAUGGGCGCAAGCCUGACGACGCAACGCCGCGUGGAGGAUGAAGAUCUUCGGGUUGUAAACUCCUGUCGAGCGGGACGAAUAUCACCUGGGUCAAUACCCCGGGUGCCUGACGGUACCGCUAAAGGAAGCCCCGGCUAACUCCGUGCCAGCAGCCGCGGUAAUACGGGGGGGGC